UCCGCCCUGCCUCACCUCGGGCUGGGCGGGCAAGAUGGCGGCAGGAACGGGGAAGCACAAGCUGCUGAGCGCUGGCCCCACCGAGCCCUGGUCCAUCCGCGAGAAGCUCUGCCUGGCCUCGUCCGUCAUGCGGAGCGGAGACCAGAACUGGGUCUCAGUCAGCAGAGCUAUCAAACCUUUUGCAGAGCCAGGACGCCCACCUGACUGGUUUUCCCAAAAGCACUGUGCAUCUCAGUAUUCAGAGCUCUUGGAGACUACGGAGACCCCCAAGAGAAAACGUGGUGAGAAGGGAGAAGUUGUGGAGACUGUGGAAGAUGUUAUUGUGCGGAAACUGACUGCAGAACGGGUUGAGGAGUUGAAGAAAAUCAUUAAAGAAACACAGGAGAAGUACAGGCAACUCAAGAGGGAUGCAGAGCUGAUCCAGGCCGGACACAUGGAUAACAGACUGGAGGAGCUAUGCAAUGAGAUUAUGAUAAAGAAGAAACUGGAGGAGGAGGAAGCAGAAGUCAAGAGGAAGGCUACAGAUGCUGCUUAUCAGGCUCGUCAGGCCAUUAAGAAUCCACCACGACGGUUGACGGGUGUGAUGGUUCGCUCCCCUGCAGGCUCAACCUCCCCAGGGGGAGACUAUGCUCUGGGAGAUCUGUCUCAGCCUGCUGUGGAUGAGGCCAGUCCAGGGGUUGGUGAAAAUGAAAUGGCAGUGGCUUCUGGUCACAUGAACAGCUCAGGAGUCCUGCUGGAGGUAGGAAGUGUCCUCCCAGUGCUGCACAGUGGGGAAAUGCAGUCGGCACCUGGUGCUGUCCCUGCAUCUCCUGCUGCUUCAGGUGCUCCUACGCUUUCCCGGCUUUUAGAAGCUGGUCCUGCACAGUUCACCUCACCUCUUGCUUCCUUCUCCGCUGUUGCCAGCGAACCUGCAGCUAAGCUCCUGCCACCCCCAGUAGAGCCUGUGUCCCAGGCUACAAUUGUCAUGAUGCCCACGCUGUCAGCACCAUCCGUUGUGCCACCAGCUGCAGCUCCAGAAAGCGUAGCCACAGUGAGCCAACCAGAAGCCUGUGUUUCCAUGGAGGCAGUGUCUGAUUCCCACACCGUGACAGUGUCCAUGGACAGCAGUGAAAUAUCCAUGAUCAUUGAUUCCAUCAAGAAAGAGUGCCUGGGUUCUGGGGCUGGCGGUACUGCAGGGUCUUCCAAAGAUCACUGCAUGGAUGGGAAAGAAGACCUAGAUUUAGCAGAGAAAAUGGAUAUUGCAGUGUCCUAUACGGGGGAAGAGCUGGACUUCGAUACCGUUGGAAAUAUUAUAGCCAUCAUUGAGGACAAGGUAGACGACCACCCUGAAGUCCUGGAUGCAGCAGUUGUAGAAGCUGCUCUGUCAUCUUUCUGUGAAGAUACGGAUGACCCUCAGACCCUGCCUGGCCCAUGGGAACACUCAAUUCAUCAGGAGCACGAGAAACAGGCCCAGAUACCCCAGGUGUCUGUGACUGUGAAGCAGGAGAGACUGGAGUGUGAGGAGCCAGAGGCAAAGGGAAUUCGAGACAUAAUGGGCAUUGGCGAGCUGGGAUCAGAAAUAAAGACAGAACCUGCAGAGCAGGAGCAGAAUCAACUGGGCCCUGAGGAAACCAUAGCAGCAGCUGCAAGAGUGACGGAAACACCAGAGCUUCGAAGUCAAGAGAUAGAAGAAGAUCAAAGAGCAGCUGUAACAGCAGGAGAGACUUCUGAAAUUGAGAUAGAAUCGACCAAGGGAGAAGACAUGGUGCACAAUACAGUGAAGGCAGAGACCCCACCUGAUGAUGAUUCAUCCCCUCCACAAGUCCCAAAUGUGAGUGAAGACUCCUCACAGGCUGAUGUUCAGCACAAAUUUGAGCUGUCAGAGUCAAUGAAGGAGGAGGCCCAAGCCCUGUUUAGGAGUCAGAUGAAGGAUGGGCAGGGUGAAGAGGAUGAUGAGGAUGGUGCCAGUGAGGCUGCCAGUUUGGAGGAACCCAAAGAAGAAGAUCAGGGUGAGGGAUAUCUGUCAGAGAUGGAUAACGAACCCCCCGUGAGCGAGAGCGAUGAUGGCUUCAGUGUCCAUAAUGCACCUUUACAGUCUCACACGCUAGCUGACUCCAUCCCCAGCAGCCCAGCCUCCUCGCAGUUCUCAGUGUGUAGUGAAGACCAGGAAGCAAUACAGGCCCAGAAGAUAUGGAAGAAAGCUAUCAUGCUAGUUUGGAGAGCAGCAGCUAAUCACAGGUAUGCCAAUGUCUUCCUACAGCCUGUAACUGACGAUAUAGCACCAGGCUACCACAGUAUUGUGCAGAGGCCAAUGGAUUUAUCUACCAUCAAAAAGAACAUUGAGAAUGGGCUGAUACGAACCACAGCUGAGUUCCAGCGUGAUAUUAUGCUGAUGUUUCAAAAUGCAGUUAUGUACAACAGCUCUGACCAUGAUGUGUACCACAUGGCUGUGGAGAUGCAGCGAGAUGUCCUGGAGCAGAUCCAGCAAUUUCUGGCCACACAACUGAUCAUGCAAACAUCAGAGUCAGGGAUCAGUGCAAAGAGCCUACGUGGGCGCGACUCCACUCGCAAGCAGGAUGCUUCAGAGAAGGACAGUGUCCCAAUGGGCUCUCCUGCCUUCCUUCUCUCUCUCUUUACAGAGGAGUACUCCAGGAGAGUCAGCAUGUCAGCCAGAGAGAGAGGGCAGCGGAUCAAAGGAAGCUCUCAGCUCGCCUCCUGCUCAUGGAAAGGAGCUGUGCGGAGAAACUAGGGAGAAACUAGGGAGCCAGGGUCACUCAACUGGAGGAGCACUUCCCAUAGGGAUCAGCAGCUAAUAAGGACGGAGGCACCAGAGGGCGUCGCUGUGCCAUCGAGGCAGACAUGAAGAUGAAGAAAUGAUGCUGCAGGCAGACAGAAAACCCCAGCAUCUGGCACCCAGAGCUGGAGUGCAAGCAAGGUGCUGUUAACAGCUGUUGGAGGAGGAAGAAAAGUUGCAGGUCCAUUUCUGGGACCUGACCCACCUUCUUCGCUUGCCCCUCUGGAAAGCAGUGUCUCGUCAGAAUGUGUAACCCAAAGAAACUUCCCUGGAGGGGAAGACUAGCCCCCCUGCCUGUUUUAAGGCAGUCGUCUUGGGCUUCAUCAGUGUUCUGGUGUUAGCUAGCAACUGGUGGCUUGUAUGUACUGUAAUGUGAAGUGUACAGAUUUUUACUAGUGAUGUGUAAAUGUGUAUGUAUAUUAAAGUCUGGGAACAAAUCCA